AUCAUGGCUCAGAUUGAACGCUGGCGGCAUGCCUUACACAUGCAAGUCGAACGGCAGCGGGGCCUUCGGGGUGCCGGCGAGUGGCGAACGGGUGAGUAAUGCAUCGGAACGUGCCAUUGAGUGGGGGAUAACGUAGCGAAAGUUGCGCUAAUACCGCAUAUUCUGUGAGCAGGAAAGCAGGGGACCGCAAGGCCUUGCGCUCUUUGAGCGGCCGAUGUCAGAUUAGCUAGUUGGUGAGGUAACGGCUUACCAAGGCGACGAUCUGUAGCGGGUCUGAGAGGAUGAUCCGCCACACUGGAACUGAGACACGGGUCCAGACUCCUACGGGAGGCAGCAGUGGGGAAUUUUGGACAAUGGGCGCAAGCCUGAUCCAGCCAUGCCGCGUGAGUGAAGAAAGGCCUUCGGGUUGUAAAGCUCUUUCGGCCGGGAAGAAAUCGCAUGGGUUAAUACCCUGUGUGGAUGACGGUACCGGAAUAAGAAGCACCGGCUAACUACGUG
rnacentral:rRNA from 1 species